rnacentral:rRNA from 1 species
GAUGAACGCUGGCGGCGUGCCUAAUACAUGCAAGUCGAGCGAACAGACGAAGAGCUUGCUCCUCUGACGUUAGCGGCGGACGGGUGAGUAACACGUGGAUAACCUACCUAUAAGACUGGGAUAGCUUCGGGAAACCGGAGCUAAUACCGGAUAAUAUAUUGAACCGCAUGGUUCAAUAGUGAAAGACGGUUUUGCUGUCACUUAUAGAUGGAUCCGCGCCGCAUUAGCUAGUUGGUAAGGUAACGGCUUACCAAGGCAACGAUGCGUAGCCGACCUGAGAGGGUGAUCGGCCACACUGGAACUGAGACACGGUCCAGACUCCUACGGGAGGCAGCAGUAGGGAAUCUUCCGCAAUGGGCGAAAGCCUGACGGAGCAACGCCGCGUGAGUGAUGAAGGUCUUCGGAUCGUAAAACUCUGUUAUUAGGGAAGAACAAAUGUGUAAGUAACUAUGCACGUCUUGACGGUACCUAAUCAGAAAGCCACGGCUAACUACGUG